UACAGAGGGGGCAAGCGUUAUUCGGAAUUAUUGGGCGUAAAGGGCGCGUAGGCGGCAUGGCAAGUGGAUGGUGAAAUCCCUCGGCUUAACCGAGGAACUGCCGUCCAAACUGCUUCGCUUGAGACCGGGAGAGGUGAGUGGAAUUCCCAGUGUAGCGGUGAAAUGCGUAGAUAUUGGGAGGAACACCAGUGGCGAAGGCGGCAUCCUGGACCGACACUGACGCUGAGGAGCGAAAGCCAGGGGAGCAAAGCGGG
rnacentral:rRNA from 1 species